UGGCGGACGGGUGAGUAACGCGUGGGCAACCUGCCUUACACAGGGGGAUAACACUUAGAAAUAGGUGCUAAAACCGCAUAAGCGCACAGCUUCGCAUGAAGCGGUGUGAAAAACUCCGGUGGUGUAAGAUGGACCCGCGUCUGAUUAGCUUGUUGGCGGGGUAACGGCCCACCAAGGCGACGAUCAGUAGCCGGCCUGAGAGGGCGGACGGCCACAUUGGGACUGAGACACGGCCCAGACCCCUACGGAAGGCAGCAG
rnacentral:rRNA from 1 species